CUCUCUAAUGUCAGGGAAUGCCCAGAUGCGCAACAGGGACAGCACAGAGGACCGUGCUUCUGGCUAGGGGUGGAUGACUUGCUCAACAUUGGCCUGGCCCGAGAGCUUGGCUUGGGUCUACAGACUGUGCCUGAUAUUCCUGGAAGGUGACCUCGCUGGUAAAUGUUUAACAGCUGGCUGUGGGGUAAGGGUGGGAGAGGGGGGUGGAGGAGAGGUCGUGGUUGGGAAAAGUGGCAGCAUUUGCCCAUUCGCAUGGCAGAGGCCCGCCAGAGCCCACUUCAAACCUCCAAUAUAACUGCCACUAAGCAGUUCACAGAAUUUCUGAUACAUAGCCGCCAGCUCCAGCCACACACCUUGGGGAAACUAUACCAAAGACCAUCAGACUGUGACACACAUGGACAACAGCAGUGUACGGCUUGCUGGAGGCUGAAAAAUCCAAGAUGGAGGAAUCAAAAGCUUCCUUAUUCAGCCUCCAUUCGGGGCCCUCACCCCUGCCAGCACAGCAGAGGUACCAAGCCCACGGAGGUCCCUCUUGCCAGAGGUGCUUGUGACUGAAGAGACCACAGCCAAGCGUGGCUUUUCAUAGAGCAGAAGACAGUUCAGCAGUGGGAACGUCUGGACAACUCUUCCAUUCAGAAGGACUUGAUGAAGGCAUCUGGGGUGCAGGUGAAUCCCUGCCAACUGUUCCCUUGGCUGAGUCUGCGGGGCAGAAGACAGCCACAACUUUUCUUUCAAAAUCAGAGCUGAGCUAACUGUGCCUCCGAAAAAUGCUGACACACAGCCCAAAAGCGAUCAGACAUAUCUCUUCCAUUUCUUUUUCUGCUGCUCUCCGUGAAAGCUGCUGGUGUUUGAUGAGCAGAAACAAGCCGCCCUGCUGAGAUUUUUCUGCUGGAGCCAAGUGUUUCUGCCAAGCGUGCUGAGCAGCCGCCAUGUUGAAGGGACAGCUCUGUGCAGUCAGCUCCAAGAGAGGCCUCCCCCUGCAUCUGUGGGACCUGCAGGAUUUCCCAUCAUUCCUUCUUUGCACAGCGGCCACAUUUAAGGGUGUGUGAGUGUGUACAUAUGUACACACACACACAUACACAUAUACCACGUACACACAUAAACAUGCACACAUCAUGAGACCCAAGGUUAAUAUGGAAGAUGGAGAGAUUGAUGUAUUCUAUGUUGCCCUGAAAUUUGCUUGGAAACACUCACCCGUAACACACCUUUAAGGAAAGUAACACACCUUUAAGGAAAGUAGUUCCCUUUUGAAUGGUGUCUUUCUUCUACUUCCUGGGUUUGUUUAGUUACUUCUGGUACAAGGAGAGCCUGCGUGUCCGAGUCUUACUCCACUCCCACAGCGGUCUGCCUUCCACCUGUCUUUCUGUGCUAGUCUUGGGGGUGGGGCGGGGGCAGGAGAUGCCAUUCGUUAUUUUGUUGUUUUGGGGGCUCACUAAGGGGCCUUCUGUGAUGUCAAAUCAAACCCUAAAGUUUGGGAGCUGAGGGGAGUCAGCCACAUCCUCCCUCUCCACCUUUGGCGGUACGGUAAUAACCGGUUUAAUUGCUCCCACAAUGAUCCCAGCAUGACCCAAGGAAAGCCCAAGAGAAAACACACACCUAAGAUGAUGUCCAAGUGGGUCCUUUCUGGGGCUUCCAGGGAACUUUUCUGUUUGUUUUGAGACUGGGUUUCUCUGUGUAACAGCUCUGGUUAUCCUGGAACUAGCUUCACAGAUCAGGUUGGCCUUCACUCAGAGAUCCCUCGUGAGUGCUGGGAUUAAAAGCAUGUGUCACUACACCUAGCCCGGGGUACCAUUUUGGUUGUUGUUAUUUUGUGUUGAGAGCCUCUGCUCCUACCAGAUGCGGUCUGCCAGGGCUCUAACUGCUCUGGCCUUGCUGGCUCUUCCCUUUCUUCCUCAGAUCUAUUUUUCAGCGGAACCGAGACACCCUGGAUUACCCAUGCAGUAUAAUUUUACCAUGCCCAGAGGAGCAGAGAUGAACAGGGGGAAAAUUACAGGGGUUUUUUGCCUGUUUCCUGGUGGAACUUAGGUUUUUCUUACCUUAGCAUCUAAAUGAAGACAAGAGGAUAAAGCCCAGGCCACAGGGCCACAGCACCACUGCUAAGCCUCCCAGAAGUUACCAUGGCUAAAAACUGGAAUUCCUCCCGGCUUCUCUCUUUAAAACACAACGUUUUACUAAAUGGGGUUGGUUGCCCGCUGUUAAGACAAUGGGCCUGUCCAAGCAUCUUGUUCAGGAAUCAAGGGAAGAAAGACACGGUGGGGCCCAAGAACAGACGAGCUGCUCCCAAGAAUGGAAAACAAAUGAGCCGAGGCAUAAAUGGAUGGAAAAACAAAAGGAAGAGAUUCCUUGAACAAUGCGGACUAUUGAAGGGGAGCCGCACGGACAGAGGCCCAGGUCGUGGGACCAGCUGGGGAGUGGUGGGACAGGGGAGUUGAGCUGUCAGCAUGCAACUCGGGCAGAGGAGGAGAAUCCCGCACGCCCUGUGCUCCCAUUUCCUUGCGGCUGUCCCCUGACCUGCUGCCUGAAAAAGGAGCAGGGAGGCUAGAUGCACGCACGCACGCACGCACGCACGCACGCACGCGGAGAGUUCCUGAACCAUCUGCCCCCUCUCCCAACCUGGCUUGGGUCCGCCGUGGACAAUCUACAGUGGUCUUUCUUCUCUGCCUGAGAACAUCCUGCAGGGAGGCCCACGGGUAAUUUCAGUGAAACCUACAGACUCCUGAGUAACUCGAUCUCAUUGUCCCUGUGGAUAAUGGAGCCUCAGGGAGCUGAGGACAAUAAUGGACCUGGGGGAUCUCCCUGGCCCCAAAGUGGAAUUGAGGUAUCUCUUUCUUUCUAGAACACAUGAUCACCUCACCCCCAGGGUACAUCCAUGAAUGUCAUGUUAGAAUCAUGAGGGAUUGGGGCACACGGGGAAGAUUUUUGUCCAGCUGGAGUCCCCACAAUUAUUUUCUUUUGUGGAGCACAGAUUCUUUUCGACUUACGAUGGAGUUCUGCCUUGUCAGUGGUCCAGGCUCAUCGUAAGUUGAACAUAUUUUAAGUUGAAAACAGACUGAGCGUAUCCAACCUGUGGAACAUCAUAGGUCACAGAAGUCUGGGGAGUUGAAGGGAGAGGCCAGAGAAAGGCGGGCAAAGGGUCACAUUUCCCAAGGUCAAGUGAGCCUUGUGGUUGUGCACCUGGAGAAAACACUGGCUGGGGAGUAGAUGCCACAAUGCCACGUGGUGAUGGCUGCAGAGGGACGGUCUCAGCAGUGUGACACAAGCCAGGACACCGAAGAGAAUCCCACUGAAGGCAAGAACACUUGCCUCUCACUGCAUAGGCCUGGCUGGCUGGUACUUGCUAUGCAGUCCAGGCUGGCUUUGAAUUUGCAGCAAUCCUCCAGCCUCAGCCUCUCUGGUACUAGGAUUGUGGGCAUGUGCCUCCAACCCUUUAUGAGAUAAAAUAAAUAAAUAUAAAUAAGUAAAUAAAACUAUUUGCACACAAUGUGUAGUGAGAAAAUCAGGGCAAAAUAAGGAUUUCUGUCUUCUCAAAUAUUUCUAUUUACCAAGAGAUUUUGCUCUUACUUCUAUUUCAUCUUUUUAGAGGUAUUUAUUUUUAUUCGUAUGGGCGUUUGGCCUACAUGCAUGUCUGUGCACCAUGUGUCUCGUGGGAACCAGGACUGGACUAGAGGGUUGUGUGAUAUUUUGUUUGUGUUCUGGCAAAUAAAACUUGCUUGGGUGGAGACAGCCACUAGUUAACCAUAGAGGCUGGGCAGUGGCGGCACACGCCUUUAAUCCCAACACCAGACAAAACGUUAAUCUAAUUAAUCUAAAUCAAUAAAGAUCCAGAAGUCAGAAAUGGGGUAAAAACUUGGAAGGUCAGAGAAUUGAAAGCAGCCGCUAGCUUCUCUCUACCUGUCUCAUUCCACAUCCUGAAGGGCUGAGAUCCUGUCUUUGUCCCUCCUUACCACUUCCUGUCUCCACCCUGGAGUGCUGGGAUUAAAGCCAUUCUUAUACAACCCACGAGCACCUUCCCAUGGGUGGCACCGCCCACCUUGAGCUGGUCUCCCUUCACGUCCAUCAUUAGUCAAGACAGCUCUUCAGGUGUGCCUGCAGGCCAGUCCUAUCGAGGAGGCAUUUUCUCAGGGAUCCCAAUGAAGUUCUCUCCUUACAAGACAUACAAGACAAGAAAGACCAACCAAGAAACUGAGCCCAGAUCCCAGGAAGCCAGAUCAUUUUCUCUCAGGUAAGGAUGAAGAAAAUGAAUAUUCAGUGAGUUAAAGGAAGAGCCCCAAACUGCACAGCCAAUCGGCGACAGGCCUUCCCUGAAAGACUCUUUGCUCAUGCAUGUCAUCAACCGAGAAGCUGACGAGAAACACCUGGAGGAUUUCUGCGAGAAACCAGAGGGCGGCUACGCGUAGGGCACAGCUACUUAUGCGUCAUUCUGUUAGGAGAGAACAGAAACCAUGCCUCGUCCCCUUUUGAAGACAUUAGAACAUGCUGGAAUAAGUGUUCUAGCAGAACCCUGUUGCCUGUUCCUGGGCCUGAAACCUUACACACACGGCAGUCCUGGGGGCUGCCCGCCAACCAGCCUUCUGUGUAUACACAGAGACUGAAAAUCUUGCAGCGUCCAACUGAUGUUUGAAGCUGGCCCUGUGUGCUCGCUCUGUGGUGAACUGCAGAGUCAAUGGGCCGGCUUUGAUGUUGAAACCUGCCCUGCCUCUUCGCUAGCUGGGUGGCCUCAGAGAAACUGCUCCACCAGCCAGAGCUCUGAGUCCUAGUGAACUCAUCUGUGAAAUGGAGCUAGCAGCGACCACUUGUCUGGGACCGGGACUGGGGAGUGUAAACUCCCUAGCUAGCAUGUGCUCUGCAGGAAGCCCCAGACCAACGAUUCCUGUUCUCUUCAUAUCUAGACAGAAGGAGAGCACAGUAUAACAUGUCGGGACAUAGCCUAGAAAUACCAAUGGCUUGCAACAAAUGCUUUAGUUCCCAUGCGUCUCCCCGGCUCACGGCUGACCUAUCCAUCCCCCUGCAGCUGAGAAUACCAAAUGCUGAUAGCUCACAGCUGUGCUUACCCUGAGUGUUGCUCUCUGCCACCAGACACCCAGACACGGUCUCGUAAGAGGUUACACCUGCCCCAAACUGGACAAGGAGAGACAAUCCCCUUUUUCUCGCUUUGGGGCAACUAGGAAGAACUACACCAGCCUGUAAGCCAGCUCCAGCCUCAGAUGACCGCUCUGCAGGCUGAUGUCCCCCUCUGUUGGCUUCAAUAUUCCUUCCAGGAGGCCUGUGGCCUCAGCCUGCUGGGUCAGCGUCUGGUUGAGAAUCCAAUCUAAGCCGUUCCUUAAGGGAAAUUGCCGAUUUCAAUUGUUCUUGACAUUUGAUCAUUUCUCCAAUAAGCGAUACACAUAAAAACUGUUGGUGAGGGCUUGGAAAGAUGACUCAGUGGUGAAGAACGUGUAAGCUUCUCUAGAGGACCCAAGUUCGGUUCCCAAUGUCCAUGUCAAGCAGCUCAUCACCUGUAACUCCAACUCCAUGUGACCCAAUACCCAAUUUCUGGUUUCUGGGGCAC